UAACCCCUCAUUUCCUGCCAUGUGUCAGCUCCUCUCCUCUGUCUGAUCACAGUAUCAUGCACACAGCUGAUCCACAGUAGUGUUAACCUCUGUCAGGUAUCAUAACUGUCUCAUGUCCAGCUGUCUGUCCUACAGUGGAAGUUCAUCUGCUCCUUGUGUGUCUCUGCUCUCCCCUCCAGCUGGCACCAUGGUCAGGCCCUCAGUCUCUCUGCUUCCCCCCUCCUCUGAGCAGCUCUCUGGGGGCUCGGCCACGCUGGCCUGCCUGCUGACCGGCUACUCUCCUCAGGGAGCCGUGGUGAGCUGGCAGGUGGACGGUACGGAGGUGACGGAGGGGGUCCUGAGCAGCUCAGAGGAGGAGAAGAGCGGCCGCUACAGCAGCAGCAGCACCCUGAGCCUGAGCCAGGAGCGCUGGAUGGAAGGAGAGCUGUACUCCUGCAGGGUCCUCCAUCAGGGCCACAGCCAGACCCAGUCCCUCCACAGGAGCCAGUGUAAGGGCUAGAGGGGCCGGCUGAAGCCCAGGACAGGAGCUCUGUGUGGGGGGGGGAGCAGCUCUGAUCAAUAGCAGUUUGAAUGCUU